rnacentral:lncRNA from 1 species
UAAUGAAAUUUUCUUGAUGUUUGUGGCUCAGUCGGUAUAUAUUUGGAAAGAUUCAUUGUGGUGAAUAUUUUGAGUCCUGACCAUUUAAACGUGAUAGAGGGAACAAAGGAUUUAUAUAUUUUUUGUACAAAGUUUUUUCUUAAAUUUAAUUUUUUUUCUACCAAUGAUUUUAAAACACUUUUGGCUCUUCGAUUUACUCAAGUCCUUAUAAAUUAUACAUUUCCCCAGUUUAGCCAUUCAUGUGA